CCUACGGGGGGCUGCAGUGAGGAAUAUUGGUCAAUGGACGAGAGUCUGAACCAGCCAAGUAGCAUGAAGGAUGACUGCCCUAUGGGUUGUAAACUUCUUUUAUAUGGGAAUAAAAUGUUCCACGUGUGGGAUUUUGUAUGUACCAUAUGAAUAAGGAUCGGCUAACUCCGUGCCAGCAGCCGCGGUAAUACGGAGGAUCCGAGCGUUAUCCGGAUUUAUUGGGUUUAAAGGGAGCGUAGGGGGAUUGUUAAGUCAGUUGUGAAAGUUUGCGGCUCAACCGUAAAAUUGCAGUUGAAACUGGCAGUCUUGAGUACAGGAGAGGUGAGCGGAAUGCGGGGUGUAGCGGUGAAAUGCUUAGAUAUCACGAAGAACUCCGAUUGCGAAGGCAGCUUACUGGACUGCAACUGACACUGAGGCUCGAAAGUGUGGGUAUCAAACAGGAUUAGAUACCCCUGUAGUC
rnacentral:rRNA from 1 species